GGCUCAGGAUGAACGCUGGCGGCGUGCUUAACACAUGCAAGUCGAACGAUGAAGCCCAGCUUGCUGGGUGGAUUAGUGGCGAACGGGUGAGUAACACGUGAGUAACCUGCCCUUAACUCUGGGAUAAGCCUGGGAAACUAGGUCUAAUACCGGAUAGGAGCGCCUACCGCAUGGUGGGUGUUGGAAAGAUUUAUCGGUUUUGGAUGGACUCGCGGCCUAUCAGCUUGUUGGUGAGGUAAUGGCUCACCAAGGCGACGACGGGUAGCCGGCCUGAGAGGGUGACCGGCCACACUGGGACUGAGACACGGCCCAGACUCCUACGGGAGGCAGCAGUGGGGAAUAUUGCACAAUGGGCGCAAGCCUGAUGCAGCGACGCCGCGUGAGGGAUGACGGCCUUCGGGUUGUAAACCUCUUUCAGUAGGGAAGAAGCGAAAGUGACG
rnacentral:rRNA from 1 species